rnacentral:rRNA from 1 species
UCUCCUGGAAACGGGUGGUAAUGCCGGAUGUUCCACAUGAUCGCAUGUGAUUGUGGGAAAGAUUCUAUCGGCGUGGGAUGGGGUCGCGUCCUAUCAGCUUGUUGGUGAGGUAACGGCUCACCAAGGCUUCGACGGGUAGCCGGCCUGAGAGGGCGACCGGCCACAUUGGGACUGAGAUACGGCCCAGACUCCUACGGGAGGCAGCAGUGGGGAAUAUUGCACAAUGGGCGCAAGCCUGAUGCAGCGACGCCGCGUGAGGGAUGGAGGCCUUCGGGUUGUAAACCUCUUUUGUUUGGGAGCAAGCCUUCGGGUGAGUGUACCUUUCGAAUAAGCGCCGGCUAACUACGUGCCAGCAGCCGCGGUAAUACGUAGGGCGCAAGCGUUAUCCGGAUUUAUUGGGCGUAAAGGGCUCGUAGGCGGCUCGUCGCGUCCGGUGUGAAAGUCCAUCGCUUAACGGUGGAUCUGCGCCGGGUACGGGCGGGCUGGAGUGCGGUAGGGGAGACUGGAAUUCCCGGUGUAACGGUGGAAUGUGUAGAUAUCGGAA